UACGUAGGCAGCAAGCGUUGUUCGGAAUUACUGGGCGUAAAGGGCUCGUAGGCGGCCAACUCAGUCGGACGUGAAAUCCCUCGGCUUAACCGGGGAAUGGCGUCCGAUACUGGAUGGCUUGAGUUUGGGAGAGGGAUGCGGAAUUCCAGGUGUAGCGGUGAAAUGCGUAGAUAUCUGGAGGAACACCGGUGGCGAAGGCGGCAUCCUGGACCAACACUGACGCUGAGGAGCGAAAGCCAGGGGAGCAAAGCGGG
rnacentral:rRNA from 1 species